CCUACGGGAGGCAGCAGUGAGGAAUAUUGGUCAAUGGACGCAAGUCUGAACCAGCCAUGCCGCGUGCAGGAAGACGGCUCUAUGAGUUGUAAACUGCUUUUGUACGGGGGUAAACGCAGAUACGCGUAUCUGUCUGAAAGUAUCCUACGAAUGAGGAUCCGCGAACUCCGUACCAGCAGCCGCGGUAAUACGGAGGAUUCAAGCGUUAUCCGGAUUUAUUGGGUUUAAAGGGUGCGUAGGCGGUCGGAUAAGUUAGAGGUGAAAUCCCGAGGCUCAACCUCGGAAUUGCCUCUGAUACUGGUCGGCGAGAGAGUAGUUGCGGUAGGCGGAAUGUAUGGUGUAGCGGUGAAAUGCUUAGAGAUCAGACAGAACACCGAUUGCGAAGGCAGCUUACCAGGCUACUUCUGACGUUGAGGCACGAAAGCGUGGGGAGCAAACAGGAUUAGAUACCCGGGUAGUC
rnacentral:rRNA from 1 species